UAAGCAUAUCAAUAAGCGGAGGAAAAGAAACCAACAGGGAUUGCCCUAGUAACGGCGAGUGAAGCGGCAACAGCUCAAAUUUGAAAUCUGACUCUUUCAGAGUCCGAGUUGUAAUUUGCAGAGGGCGCUUUGGCUUUGGCAGCGGUCCAAGUUCCUUGGAACAGGACGUCACAGAGGGUGAGAAUCCCGUACGUGGUCGCUAGCUAUUGCCGUGUAAAGCCCCUUCGACGAGUCGAGUUGUUUGGGAAUGCAGCUCUAAAUGGGAGGUAAAUUUCUUCUAAAGCUAAAUAUUGGCCAGAGACCGAUAGCGCACAAGUAGAGUGAUCGAAAGAUGAAAAGCACUUUGGAAAGAGAGUCAAACAGCACGUGAAAUUGUUGAAAGGGAAGCGCUUGCAGCCAGACUUGCUUGCAGUUGUUCAUCUGGGUUUUUACCCGGUGCACUCAUCUGUAGGCAGGCCAGCAUCAGUUUGGGCGGUGGGAUAAAGGUCUCUGUCAUGUACCUCUCUUCGGGGAGGCCUUAUAGGGGAGACGACAUACCACCAGCCUGGACUGAGGUCCGCGCAUCUGCUAGGAUGCUGGCGUAAUGGCUGUAAGCGGCCCGUCUUGAAACACGGACCAAGGAGUCUAACAUCUAUGCGAGUGUUUGGGUGUCAAGCCCGAGCGCGUAAUGAAAGUGAACGGAGGUGGGAACCCGCAAGGGCGCACCAUCGACCGAUCCUGAAGUUUACGGAAGGAUUUGAGUAAGAGCAUGGCUGUUGGGACCCGAAAGAUGGUGAACUAUGCUUGAAUAGGGUGAAGCCAGAGGAAACUCUGGUGGAGGCUCGCAGCGGUUCUGACGUGCAAAUCGAUCGUCAAAUUUGGGCAUAGGGGCGAAAGACUAAUCGAACUAUCUAGUAGCUGGUUCCUGCCGA
rnacentral:rRNA from 1 species